rnacentral:rRNA from 1 species
UACGGAGGGUGCAAGCGUUAUCCGGAUUCACUGGGUUUAAAGGGUGUGUAGGCGGGUAUUUAAGUCAGGGGGGAAAUCUCCAGGCUCAACCUGGAAACUGCCAUUGAUACUAUUUAUCUUGAAUAUCGUUGAGGUUGGCGGAAUAUAUCAUGUAGCGGUGAAAUGCAUAGAUAUGAUAUAGAACACCGAUUGCGAAGGCAGCUAACUAAGCGAUUAUUGACGCUGAGGCACGAAAGCGUGGGGAUCAAACAGG